AUUUAGUUACUCGCUUUUAUGGUCUUGUCUUGGCAUGUUUCUGGCUCUCUGUAUCUCACAUCGUCUCCCCAUUAAUAUCUACUUGAAUCCUUUUCGUCUUUUGCUUGGCCUCAGUGUCUGGCACGUUGUUGUUUAUUUGCCUGAGUUUAAAGAUGCCGUGUAAAUGAAGUUAUUCUUAUUCUUCUAAUUCCUCUUAUUUUGCAGCCCGCAUUGAGGAACACAUCAAUCCUGCGAUCGUCAUUGUCAUCAAAAUUGCCAUCGUUGCAGUUCUCCUUGGUGCUGCGUUUCUUCUGUUCAUGAAAUGGACCAGAGCCAAGUAAAUACAAGUGCCUACUACACUACAUAUGCAGAAUACUAAUUAUGAGAAUGAAACCAUCAGUAUAUGAAUGUAUGUGAAUGGGUGAAUGAGAUAUGUAGGGUAACAGCGCUUAGAAAGGCACUUAUGGGGCGGCGUAGACUAGCUUAGCCGCCUCGCGUGCAAAGGCUCAGUCCAGAGUUCGAAUCCGACCUGUGGCUCUUUCCCGCAUCUCUCUCUUUCUCCUCACAUUCCUGUCACUCUUCAGCUGUCUCUAUCAAAAUAAAAGCUUGAAAAGAAAGAAAGGGAAAAAAAAGAAAGGCACUUAUAUAAGUACAGUCUGUUUACCAUUUUAUGGAGUCUGGCUGCUGUUUGCUCCCUAAUAUUUACAUGAUUCCUGUUAAAAUGGUCAGAAAAGGACAAACAUGUUGUGGGUACUGAUUGGAGUUUGCAGUAGCUAAAAGAAUGUGCAUUAUAACCCCACUGCUAUAAACUAUAGAUAGGCCUGAAUGCUAAAUACACUCUGUGAUUGACAACAUGUUUGGGAUUGUUCCAGAUCUGGCAAUAUAUUUGCCAAUGACAGAUGAGCACUAGAGCAAAAUGAAUGAACUGAUGAGGUUUACCAUCAACUGCAACAGAGCUUUAACCAAUAGAUUUACUGUGGAAGGUGCUGAACAGCCAAAAAAGAACAAUCCAACUUGGGAAACACCAGAAACACUUUACUUAAGCAUUACUCUUGGUUCCCUAACCUAAAAAACUGAAAGGUUUUAAUGACCCAUGGACAUUGCAAUGAUGCUAGUAUCAAAUUAACUAAAAUUGUAAUCCCACAAUGUGCACUCAACUACAAGCAGAGCCGUUUCAGUGACCAAGGUCCAUGUUUUUGUUUUUUUGAUAAGAUAUGUAUAUUUUGAGAUGUAUUGUUUUGUUAAAUUAAAAUAAAUUGAUUAAUAAAUCAAACGA